AUGCUCGCCCACACGCGCCUCCCGCCUCCGCCUCCGCAUCCCGCCCAAAUCCUGCCCGCCCGCCUCGCCGGAGGCGGCGGUAUGGAGUUCCGCCGCAAGCUCCACUUCCUCUCGGCCGAGCUCCAUCUCGACCCGUUCCCGCUCCUCGCCCUUCAUCCUGAGCUCCGCUCCGCGCCGCUCGCGCUUCUCCAUGCCUCCCUCCGCCUCCUCCUCUCACACGGACUCUCCGCCGGCGACGCCUCCCGCGUCUUCUCGGCAUUCCCGUCGCUCCUCACCUCUCCUCCUGAGGAGUCCCUCCGCUUCCUCUCCGCCGCCGCGCCGCUACCCCCUCCUCUCCUCCGCGCCGCGGUGGUCCGUUCCCCUCGCCUCCUCGCCGCGUCCAUCCCGGACACCCUCCGCCCCGCGCUUUACUUCCUUCGCCACCGCGUUUCCCUGCGACGGAGACCCCUUCCGCUCGCUGCUGCCCUGCUCCUCGCUUUCUCCGUCGACCGCACACUCCUCCCCAAGCUCCUCUUCCUUGGCAAAGCCACGGGGCUCCCAGACCGCGCCAUCUGCACCAUUAUUCGCCGCGCCCCCGCCAUUCUCUCCUAUGGUAUCGAGACCAACCUCACGCCCAAGCUCAAGUUCCUCGCCGACGGCAUGAGCAUGGACCCAGCCGCGGAGCUCACCGAGUUCCCACACUACUUCGCGUUCAGCUUGGAGGGGAGGAUCAUGCCGAGGCACGAAGCAUUGAGGCUGAGGGGCGUUGAUAUGUCACUAAAGGAAAUGCUCAAGAGCAGCGAUGAUGAGUUCAAGGAGCGGAUCUUAGAUGCAACGCUGUCGGGCAAUAUGCAGAGGAUGUGA
rnacentral:rRNA from 1 species